UCCUGAGUUCUGAAGUAGCCAAACUUAAAUAUCAGCUCUGAUCCAACUUGAGCUUCUCUACAACAUAAACCUGAGUUGUAGGAAACAGCGCCCCCUCAUCACCGUGAAAUCCUUAGACUCGCUUCUAGGGGAAGAAAAAACCAACCCACAUCUCCGUCUGUCAACCACGGAUUAGCCCGUGUUCUCCCUCCCUGCUACACCCUACAGUCCUGCCAUCUCUACCCAAUCCGCUCCUUCCUGGGCCUUCCGCGGACCCCGUCCUGGCCUCACCCACCCCCGCCCAGGGCCCCUGUCCAUGCAGAGCACACCCUUGCCCCCCUUGCUGUUCCUCCCCCAGGACGUGGCAACUCCCCUGGGAAUGCUUCUCGAAUGGCUCAGGCAGACGGAGGUAACUUUUUGUCACCACACUCAGCAUCUCCUUUUGUAGCCUUUGUCCUUUGGCGGGGAGGACGGCUGAAGUGACUUCCGAAAACCGAAGAAAAGACACAAGCCCCUGAGACUUGUGACCCCUUGGGAAAGUCCUGCCUCAGGACUUCAGGGCAGGCAGACCUGUCUCAAAGGGACACAUCUGGCCAAGACUCAACCCAAAUCACAAGGGCUGGAGAGGAAAGGCUCUCUGCAGAGAUGGGCUCCCGCACUUGCCCCCAGCCACACUGGCUCUUUGUUCCGGGAGGUUCUCACCCCCAUCUCCUGCCUGUGACAGACCCUCUGCCCAGGCGCACUGAGGGAUCCUGACCACACAGGCCGCCCUGACACUUGGGUCCUUGUCCUAUGUCCAGCAUGAACAGGACAGCAGGAAAAUCCCAGAAUUGGAAUUGGGAGUUCCUCCUCAGCAGAGGAAUGGGACAGAGCAUUCUAAACCCGGGGAGUGGUGCCACACAGAAAACUCCCGUCUCACAGGGAAGGCAGGAGGGCAGGGAGCUGUCUCCACAGAGCUCUACCAUGGUGCCCACGCUCUGACGUGCAGCCUUCUGGCACGCCUGCCUCCCCGCAAGACUGUGGGCUCCUGGGGACAGGGACCAUGUCUUAUUCACCUUUGUUUCCCUGCGCCCAGCACGUGCAGGUGUUCAAUGAAUAAAAGCAAGGAGCGGCCCUGGGAGAGAGGUCCACUCAGGAGCCAGUGAGGGCGGGACCUAGGGAGGACGGACUUCUCUAAUCAAAUCUCCACCAUCAACUGGGAUUGAGUUGGAGCUCCCCAUUUAAGAUGCAAUGGGGAUUUGGGGGGUGCGGCCACACAACCGGGUCCGCCCAGCCCAUCAUGAAGACAGGCUACCUCGGACACUGAGGAGAGGGAACUCAGCUUCUGAUAGUCACCGGGACCAGACUCUCACUUCCUGUACUCUUGCCUGAGCCCUUCCCACAGACCAAGGCCUGUUUCAGCACACUUCUGCUGGGAAGCCUACCUGAGCUCCCCUGCACCACUAGUCUCUGAUGGCCUAUAUCUGGCCUCCUGGAGCCUGGGGCCCAGAUGGCCCACUCAGGGGUGGGGACAGGACAAAUGUCAGGAAACAAACCAAUCAAAAUCAGCAAGUUAAGUCACCAAGGAAUUGGGGCACAUGUCUGCUUGUUGCCUUUUGCAUGCACUCUUCCUGGAAAUGUAACCAGUUCUUCUGGUGCCAUAGAUGUGUCCGGGAAGGGAACGGAGAGUGGGCUGGGUGCUAAGUGUAAGCAAGGGAAGCUUAUCUUAACUGGAUAUCCUUCAUAACAUUUGGGUUUUUACCAUAUGCAUGCAAUGCUUUUUUUUUUUUUUUUCAAAGUCAAAACUAUAGUAUCAAACCACAGAGAAAAUCACAAAUUCCAAAAUGCAGACGUCCUCGGGGGCCAUAGUCACAGACCGGGUCCAGGUUAGAAACAACUGAGGUUCCAACAAGAUCAAAACAAAGCGGAUGACAAUGAUUACUGAACGGAAGACUGUAAAUCUCUCCUCCAACAAGAAAUGAAAUGGAGAAUACCGUCUUGCUCAAAUGGGUUCCCAGGUCUUUUACACAAAUGUCAGCGACUCCAUAUCCUGCUCCAGGACCUGGGUCUUGGCUGAAGCCAUACUUAGCUUCUUUCUGAUGCAGUGUCUCAGACCUAAAGGAGAAAAGCAGAUGCAUUCAGUUUUGCAUCUGGUUGUUUUUCUACAUUGCUCCUGAUUGGAUAGCAAACUGAAGUCUUACGUUUGGAUGCUCUUUCACAACCUAACGAGAAAAACACUGUUGGAGCUGCUAAGCGCCCACCACAAUUCUGUGUGUGAAGGUGAUGGGCCCUCCCCGCAUCACCAGCACCAGAUAGCUGUCAGGAUCUUCAGGGCAGCCCCCUGGCAUUCUGGGCACUCAGAAAAGAACUUGGCACAACGUCAGCUCUCCAUCAAAAAGUCAAUUGGAUGAUGCGCUAUCUAGGCCACGCAGCAGGGUCAGCCCAGAGGUAAUGAGUGACACCCACUCCCCUGGCCCAGUACAACCUGCAAAUCCUAGCUCGGCAAACCCACGUUCCAGGCAGGCAGGUGGGAGGAGAACAGUCGGGACCUGAGAUGCGGAGGCUCUGAACACUCCACCCACGGCUACCAGCACAUGCUCUAUCUUUCCGGAGCCUAAGUCCAAAACUAGCUUUCUGGUACACAUUGGAAUUUGAAGAAAAUUAAACAUUCUUCCAUCUUCAAAAGAGUUUGUUUUAGAGCACGAGCUUCUAGAAAGCAGAUUUUCCUUUCUGCAUAACAGCAAGCAUAGCACUUUUAUUCAUAAAUAUUAUUUGAUAAGGAUGAUACUUUACAAAAUGAACAAAUACUUCCUGUUUUAGGAAGUAACCCUUAGAACGAGAACUCUGGGUGUCAGAGGAUUCUUUAUUACCUCAGUAGAGGGUGGUUAAUGUGCUUCCAGUGCAUAAUCCUGAAAGAAGAACCCUUUUUCAUAAUGGUAAAAUCAGUAUCCUCUCAAGACUGUAUACAGUAUUUUAAUUUUAGAUCUAAGUUUGUUUGCUUGGGGAAGCUCAAAGAAACUUAAUCAUUUCCCUAUUUUUCCCAUUCAGUGUUUGAAAUCCCAUCUAAAUCUGUAGAAGGUUUGUAAAAAGCUUAUUAGGACCUCUCAAAAAAUCUUACCCCAUUUUCAAACAUUUCUAUUAGAAAACAUUUCCUUGAAGCCAAUCCAGUUCUUUGUCUUUCGAAUACUGUUUGCUACCCAAAACUCCCCAAGACUCAGUACCAGAUGCUAGCAUCUAAACUCUCCUUCUGCUUUGUGCCCUACACAAGGGCCAUGUUCCAAACCCUACAGAUGAUCUCUGCUGACGUCAUUGGCACAUUUUUGAGUGAGGAAUCUGACCUCCGCCUUCUGUAAAGAAUGUCUGUUGGGGUUAAGCAUGGGCCCUGGGGCUCUUAGCCUCUUGCAUUCUGAAUUUAAAUGGAAGAUGUUGUAUUAAAAAUAUUUUAAAAUGUGA